rnacentral:rRNA from 1 species
GAUGAACGCUGGCGGCGUGCCUAAUACAUGCAAGUCGAGCGAACGGACGAGAAGCUUGCUUCUCUGAUGUUAGCGGCGGACGGGUGAGUAACACGUGGAUAACCUACCUAUAAGUCUGGGAUCACUUCGGGAAACCGGAGCUAAUACCGGAUAAUAUUUUGAACCGCAUGGUUCAAUAGUGAAAGACGGUCUUGCUGUCACUUCUAGAUGGAUCCGCGCUGCAUUAGCUAGUUGGUAAGGUAACGGCUUACCAAGGCAACGAUGCAUAGCCGACCUGAGAGGGUGAUCGGCCACACGGGAACUGAGACACGGUCCAGACUCCUACGGGAGGCAGCAGUAGGGAAUCGUCCGCAAUGGGCGAAAGCCUGACGGAGCAACGCCGCGUGAGUGAUGAAGGUCUUCGGAUCGUAAAACUCUGUUAUUAGGGAAGAACAUAUGUGUAAGUAACUGUGCACAUCUUGACGGUACCUAAUCAGAAAGCCACGGCUAACUACGUG